rnacentral:rRNA from 1 species
GAUGAACGCUGGCGGCGUGCCUAAUACAUGCAAGUCGAGCGAACGGACGAGAAGCUUGCUUCUCUGAUGUUAGCGGCGGACGGGUGAGUAACACGUGGAUAACCUACCUAUAAGACUGGGAUAACUUCGGGAAACCGAUGCUAAUACCGGAUAACAACACUAGACGCAUGUCUAGAGUUUGAAAGAUGGUUCUGCUAUCACUCUUGGAUGGACCUGCGGUGCAUUAGCUAGUUGGUAAGGUAACGGCUUACCAAGGCAAUGAUGCAUAGCCGAGUUGAGAGACUGAUCGGCCACAUUGGGACUGAGACACGGCCCAA